GAUAAACGCUGGCGGCGUGCAUAACACAUGCAAGUCGAACGAAGUGGCGAACGGGUGAGUAACACGUGAGUAACCUGCCUUACACAAGGGGAAAGCCUUUGGAAACGAAGAAUAAUACCCUAUAGCGUAAGAUGGACUUGCGUCUGAUUAGCUAGUUGGUGAGAUAAAAGCCCACCAAGGCGACGAUCAGUAGCCGGCUUGAAAAAGUGUGCGGACAGAUUGGGAGUGAGCGACGGCCCAAAAUAUCCGGGAGGCAGCAGUGGGGAUGAGUGCGUCAUGGGGGAAACACUGAUGCCGCGAUGCCGAGUGAUUUAGAAGGCUUUAUGGUUGUAAAAAUCUUUAAUAUGGAAUGCAGUACCAUAAGAAUAAGGUCCGGCUAAAUACGUGCCAGCAGCCGCGGUAAUAC
rnacentral:rRNA from 1 species